AGAGUUUGAUCAUGGCUCAGCCUGAACGCUGGCGGCGUGGUUAAGACAUGCAAGUCGCACGGACGUAGCAAUACGUUAGUGGCGAACGGGUGAGUAAUGAAUCGCUAAUGUACCCCGGACUCUGGGAUAGCCGGUCGAAAGAUCGGGUAAUACCAGAUGAUAUAACUUUGUCGCAUGACAGAGUUCUCAAAGGUCCGCCGGUCUGGGAGCAGGCGAUUUUGUAUCAGCUAGUUGGUGAGGUAACGGCUCACCAAGGCGACGACGCAUAGCCGGACUGAGAGGUUGGCCGGCCACAUUGGGACUGAGACACUGCCCAGACUCCUACGGGGGGCUGCAGUAACGAAUCUUCCGCAAUGUACGAAAGUAUGACGGAGCGACGCCGCGUGUAGGACGAAGCCCUUCGGGGUGUAAACUACUGUCAAGGGUUAGAAAGUUCUGAUCAACCCUAGAGGAAGGCACGGCUAACUCUGUGCCAGCAGCCGCGGUAAGACAGAGGUGCCAAGCGUUAGGCGGAAUCACUGGGCUUAAAGCGUGUGUAGGCGGAUUGGUAAGUACCUUGUGAAAUCCCAUGGCUCAACCAUGGAACUGCUUGGUAUACUGCUUGUCUUGAGCCACUUAGGGGCAACCGGAACAAAUGGUGGAGCGGUGAAAUGCGUAGAUAUCAUUUGGAACGCCAAUGGUGAAAACAGGUUGCUGGGAGUGUGCUGACGCUGAGACACGAAAGCCAGGGGAGCGAACGGGAUUAGAUACCCCAGUAGUCC
rnacentral:rRNA from 1 species